GUAGUACUCCCUCCGUCCCAUAUUAGGUGACUUUCUAUUACACGUAUCUACGCUUUUUAGGCAUAGAAACAUCCAUAUUUGGGCAAAUUUGAGUCACUUAAUAUGGGACGGAGGGAGUAGUUU
rfam:Brachypodium distachyon strain Bd21 chromosome 4, whole genome shotgun sequence.